AGUGAGAAGAUACUGGAACUGCAUAUGUAUAAAGGUGGAUUAAAAAAUCCAAGCUGCAAUGUCGACAUAAGAAAUAUACAACAGGAGUUCAAACCACAUAAUUGUCAUACAUCCAUAACAUUGAAACAUGUCCCAUAAAGCAAUGAAUGCUUAUCAAAACACAGUUGAAGUAGGUUAUAUUGUGAAAUAACAGUAAAUAUAGAGCAUAUAGAAUGUGUUAAGUAUCCUAGUUGGUGGAGUUCCUUUGACAGCAUUGGUUUGAAUGUAAGAAAUAGAUAAGCUUUGGCUUUAAUCAUAGGAAGAAAGAUAACAUGGACAGAUGUGGAAGGACGAGCACAUGGGAGCAUUAGGGAUCAUGCAUGUUGGGACACGGUCACCUUUAUAGGCAUGCAAUUUCAAAUAGCAAAAAGAGUAAGUGAAAAUGCAAUUAUGAAUUACUGUGUGACAAACUUACUUAUGGAGUCGUCAUCACUGAUGCUUGAUAGUACUCGCAAGAAGUCAUGUCCAGCAAUAAGAGUUUCCGCCAAAUAUGGAUUGUACUGAAACUGUUAUGACAUGGGCAAUUGUUAACUGAUAAGCUAUUUGUUACAUUAGCAUACAGUUAAAUGCUUGUCAGAUUAGCAUACAGUCAAUGAAACAUAUGUACAACGAGCUGUAAACAUGUAACAUUUCCCAUGUAUCACCAUCUAAAUGCUUGCACUUAACUUCAUUUUAUUACUUGCUGCAAUUUCACUUUUCCUGUUUGUACUUUCCACACAUGUUCAUCGUACAACUUACUAACUUCCCCUUUCCUGUUGAAUUGCCAGACAUACAUUCAAUUUUUAUUACAUUAACUUAAAAACAUACAAAACAUCUAAACUAAUUAGUCCCAUUGUUAUUAUACAAGCACAAGAAAUUAUGAUAUCAUUUUCAAAAAUUCUGUGUGAUUCACAUCUGACUUGUCACUUCGUAGAUGCUUCUACAAAGUUGCAGCUGAAGGCAUAGUCAGCCAGAAGAUAAAGAAAAGGAAAUAUGGCAGACACUUCUCCAAAGUUGCAGCCGAAGGCAUAGUCAGCCUGAAGAUAAAAGAAACGGAAAUAUGGCAAACACACAGAGCAAACCACAAGUUUCUCAUCAAUCAUACAGCUUUAAAUGGGUCAUGUUCAGCUGCUAGAGUAUAAUCCCUAAAUCAUUUUCAAUAUUUUUUUUCCCCUUUACUCCACUAUUUUCUACUUCUCUAUAGGAAAUCUGACUUCCCACCACAUUAUUCGCAGCAACAAUAUUGAACUCAAUUAUUUCAGGUUCAGCUGCCACUAGGUUGAAUUUCUGUUGGCGAAAUCCCUCUCUCUUACAAUUUCAAUACACGUGUUUAUUAACAUAAAAAUAAUAGUAAAAAACUCCUUUAUAUUACCACAUUAUUCAUAAAAUUUCCAGAAAUUUAAUUUAAAAAUUUACGCCCUGCACUCUCAUAUCUUGCCAUUAUCCAUAUGAAAUCUAAUUUCACACCAAUGAAAUCUAAUUUCGCACCAACUAUAUUAUCAGCUACAAAUGAUUCACGUUACAAAUCUCACAUUAAAAUUUCACUAACCUUAAUGAUGGUUUACACAAUCCUUUCCAUUUCUUCAAUACGACCACAACAAAUCCACAAGUCACCACAAUCGUCUUCGAAAAUUUAAUCCGGCGUCGCUACUGCAGCUGUAGUCACACACAAUUAUGAAACUGGUGGUUGCUUUAGGGAAAUCGCUCACGUCAGGCCAAAUACGGUUAAGGAUUUGCAGAACCCUAAAACUAAUCUUGUACCUCAAAUGGGUUUGGGCAAUUGCCCGCUUCACAUCAUUGUUCGUGACUAAAAUCGCAACCGUUGGAUAACACUCUUUAUAAUCUAACGG
rnacentral:lncRNA from 1 species